rnacentral:rRNA from 1 species
UACGGGGGGGGCAAGCGUUGUUCGGAAUUACUGGGCGUAAAGGGCUCGUAGGCGGCCAACUAAGUCGGACGUGAAAUCCCUCGGCUUAACCGGGGAACUGCGUCCGAUACAGGAUGGCUUGAGUUUGGGAGAGGGAUGCGGAAUUCCAGGUGUAGCGGUGAAAUGCGUAGAUAUCUGGAGGAACACCGGUGGCGAAGGCGGCAUCCUGGACCAACACUGACGCUGAGGAGCGAAAGCCAGGGGAGCAAACGGG